GACAGAGGGGGCAAGCGUUGCUCGGAAUCACUGGGCGUAAAGAGCUCGUAGGCGGUCUGUCGCGUCUGCUGUGAAAACUCAGGGCUUAACCCUGAGCUUGCAGUGGGUACGGGCAGACUAGAGUGCGGUAGGGGAGACUGGAAUUCCUGGUGUAGCGGUGAAAUGCGCAGAUAUCAGGAGGAACACCGGUGGCGAAGGCGGGUCUCUGGGCCGUAACUGACGCUGAGGAGCGAAAGCAUGGGGAGCGAACAGG
rnacentral:rRNA from 1 species